UGAAAUAGUAUCAGAGCUGUAGACCGGA
rnacentral:sRNA from 1 species